UACAGAGGUCCCAAGCGUUGUUCGGAUUCACUGGGCGUAAAGGGUGCGUAGGUGGUUAGGUAAGUCCGAUGUGAAAUCUCCAGGCUCAACCUGGAAAUGGCAUUGGAUACUAUCUAGCUUGAGGAGUGGAGGGGGGAGCUGGGAAUUCUCGGUGUAGCAGUGAAAUGCGUAGAUAUCGAGAGGAACACCAGUGGCGAAGGCGAGUCCCUGGACACUUCCUGACACUGAGGCACGAAAGCUAGGGGAGCAAACAGG
rnacentral:rRNA from 1 species